GGAGAGGGCGAGAGGAGGGGAGAGAGACCCAAGCCACCCCGAUCCCGAGCAGAGCGGCUGCGAGCCGGGCGGGAAGGGGGUGUGCGCGGCAGGCAGCGCCGGCAGAGGACGGGGGAGCCUGGGCAGAGGAGGCAGCAGCCCCGGCAGAGGAGGGCAGCCCCGCGGAGCCUUCGCAGGCGGGUGGAGUUCAUUUCUUUUGUUCCUGAGAGCUGAAUAGGAGAAAGGGACAUUUCAGCUUUUCUUGAUAAAGAUUAUAUAAUCUUACUUAAACUGUGAGACAAGAAAACUUCUUGAAAAGUAAUACUUCUACAGGUAAGAACUGAGUUAACUAAUUUCCUUU
rnacentral:lncRNA from 1 species